UUUAGAUACCCGGGUAGUCCACGCCGUAAACGAUCAUCACUCGCUGUUGGCGAUAUACUGUCAGCGGCCAAGCGAAAGUAUUAAGUGAUGCACCUGGGGAGUACGCCGGCAACGGUGAAACUCAAAGGAAUUGACGGGGGCCCGCACAAGCGGUGGAGCAUGUGGUUUAAUUCGAUGAUACGCGAGGAACCUUACCAGGGCUUAAAUGUAGUUUGACCGGCUUGGAACAGGCCUUCUCUUCGGAGCAGAUUACAAGGUGCUGCAUGGCCGCCGUCAG
rnacentral:rRNA from 1 species